GAAAUGCGAUAAGUAGUGUGAAUUGCAGAAUUCAGUGAAUCAUCGAAUCUUUGAACGCACAUUGCGCCCCUUGGUAUUCCAUGGGGCAUGCCUGUUCGAGCGUCAUCUACACCCUCAAGCUCUGCUUGGUGUUGGGCGUCUGUCCCCGCCUCCGCGCGCGGACUCGCCCCAAAUCCAUUGGCAGCGUCCCCUCGCCCCCCUCUCGCGCAGCACGAAUGCGCAUGACGAGGGAGCGGCUCCCGGGAUCGCGACCCACCCCCAAGAUGACCACCGUCUUUGACCUCGGAUCAGGUAUGGAUACCCGCUGAACUUAAGC
rnacentral:misc_RNA from 1 species